AACGUAGGGGGCAAGCGUUGCCCGGAUUCACUGGGCGUAAAGCGGGUGUAGGCGGUUCUUUAAGUCAGAUGUGAAAUCCUACGGCUCAACCGUGGAAUUGCAUCUGAUACUGGGGAACUUGAGGACGGUAGAGGUCGGUGGAAUUCCCGGUGUACCGGUGAAAUGGGCAGAUAUCGGGAGGAACACCAGUGGCGAAGGCGGCCGACUGGGCCGAUCCUGACGCUGAGACCCGAAAGCUAGGGUAGCGAACCGGAUUAGAAACCCCCGUAGUCC
rnacentral:rRNA from 1 species